GUCAAAGUCAGAAAGAGAUAAGGUGACGUCAGGAAACACUUAAUAAUUUAGAUACUUAGGAAGUAGGCUUCCUGUCCGGUUUGCUGUUUGUGGAACAUGUUUCUUAAUGUAUUAUGCAGAGCAAGUUCAGUUAACAAAUUUGUAACGGGAAAACGGUCGAAAAUUGUGGCAGGUUCAAGAGAUUAUCAAUUUUCAGGUAGAAAUUAUGUAGUAAUGAGAAACAGUUGAAAAUCGUAUCACUGUGAGUAAUGACCAGCCAUUGAGCCCCGGAUUUGCAUACCUACUCACUCAUUAACGUGGGGAAUAAUUGAAUAAACCGGAUUUGUUCGACCUUGGUUGAAUUUUAGGUAGGAGACACCACAACAUCAUCACAGUAACAACAGUGCAUGUGACUGACGUUUUUUUUCAGCAGUAAAACUUCACGUGAGAGUCGAUCUUGUAAAUUUUCAUUGUUGCAGAAUCAUAUAAAAAGUCUGGUAUUUUUCUGAUUUGUUGGAGAUUAAAGUCGGUAGGCGAAAAUUUCGUGCAAAAUAUAUACGUAGCCAUAAAAAUAUAGAAAUAUGUCGACUGAUAUUUUUCUCAGCUAGAACUUCAAAUAAAAUAUUAAAGUCGGUAGACGAAAAUUGCGUGCAAAACAUAUACGUAGCCAUAAAAUACAGAAAUAUGUCGACUAGUCGCAUCCUUCGCCCACCGUUCACUCUCGCCACUGCCCGGGAGAAAGUUUCUCUAGCCCAGAACCUGUGGAAUACUCGAAACCCGGAGAAAGUUGCGUUAGCUUACACUCCGAACUCCAGUUGGCGCAACCGGGACAAAUUCUUCACGGGGAGAGACGCCAUCGUGGCUUUCCUACGAGACAAGUGGACCCACGAGCUGGAUUACAAACUGGAAAAAUAUCUCUUUUCUUUCAACGACAACAAAAUUGCGGUCCACUUCCAGUACGAAUUUCAUAAUGGGAAGGGUCAAUGGUUUAGAACGUAUGGGAAUGAACACUGGACCUUCAAUGAGGAUGGUCUCAUGGAAAAAAGGGAUAUGAGUGCGAACGAUGUCGAGAUCAAGGAGAGUGAGAGACUUUUCAAAUAAGGGGAACGAUUGGGACGAUUUUGAUUGAAAAUUUUGGUUUUGGUUCACAAUUUUGGUUGAACAACUAAUUAAAUAGUUUGAAUUUCCCUAACCAUACACCACUUUGAAAUAUUUUCAUUAUUAUCAAUUCUAAAUUUACACAUAUUUUUAUAAUUUCCUAAAUAAAUUACUUAAUUGUGUAUGUUUCCUACAAAAUUUCGAAUAAAUCGAGUCAUCCUCUCAUUUGUAAAUCGUA